AACGAACGCUGGCGGCAUGCCUAACACAUGCAAGUCGAACGAGACCUUCGGGUCUAGUGGCGCACGGGUGCGUAACGCGUGGGAACCUGCCCUUAGGUUCGGAAUAACUCCCCGAAAGGGGUGCUAAUACCGGACAAUGUCUUCGGACCAAAGAUUUAUCGCCUUUGGAUGGGCCCGCGUUGGAUUAGCUAGUUGGUAGGGUAAAAGCCUACCAAGGCGACGAUCCAUAGCUGGUCUGAGAGGAUGAUCAGCCACACUGGGACUGAGACACGGCCCAGACUCCUACGGGAGGCAGCAGUGGGGAAUAUUGGACAAUGGGCGAAAGCCUGAUCCAGCAAUGCCGCGUGAGUGAUGAAGGCCUUAGGGUUGUAAAGCUCUUUUACCCGGGAUGAUAAAGACAGUACCGGGAGAAUAAGCUCCGGCUAACUCCGUG
rnacentral:rRNA from 1 species